CCUACGGGGCGCAGCAGUGGGGAAUAUUGCACAAUGGGGGAAACCCUGAUGCAGCGACGCCGCGUGAGUGAAGAAGUAUUUCGGUAUGUAAAGCUCUAUCAGCAGGAACGAGACAAGACGGUACCUGACUAAGAAGCCCCGGCUAACUACGUGCCAGCAGCCGCGGUAAUACGUAGGGGGCAAGCGUUAUCCGGAAUCACUGGGUGUAAAGGGAGCGUAGACGGCUGAGCAAGCCUGCAGUGAAAGGCGGGGGCCCAACCCCCGGACUGCUUUGGGAACUGUACAGCUGGAGUGCAGGAGAGGUG
rnacentral:rRNA from 1 species